UAAGAUCGAAGAGAAAGAGAAGAUACUCCUCGUUCCAUUUCGAGGUUUACAAAAGAACUCACGGACGUGUUUCACGCGAUGCUUGUUAAAAUCAAAAGCGUUUCCAUCCGAGCGUUACGACUCGAAGAGGAGGAUCGACUCUUGAUUUGUAAGAUCGCUUCGAGCACGCGAUCGAGCAACGUUAUUCCGUGUAUAUUCUACUCUCUCUCUCCUCUCUUCGCCUUUUUCUUCAGUAUUCCAUUCACUUCUAUCAUUCUCUUCCGCCUCUUCUUCCCCUUCUCCACCGAUUCUUCGUCCUCCACUCUUUGCGUCGUCGUUCCCUUCCCCAAACGAUCGUACACACAAGUUGGUCCGUUAUCUCGGGAUUAUCUUAAAUAUCGUGGACAGAACAAUGGCAUUUCAAUCGCGCGAAACGCGGCUGACGUUUACCUGCAAUUAUUUAUCGCGUCACGCUGUUCCACGCAACGCGAUCACGCCCCAGGCAAAUCGAAUGCCAUUGUCGAGCGGGUGAAAAAAAAAACGCGUUUGUGUCGAAUCAAAGUAUCGAUCGAUCUCUCUCGGAUCGAACCGCAAUCCCCGUUUCUUAGAAGUAUCGUUUUUUCUCUUUUUUCGAACGUUCGUCCCUCACCCGCCACUGACUUUCACGACUCGAAUUUCAUUCGACUCGAUUCGGAUUUACCCGGAUUCGAGGUCGUUUGCUUCGAUUAAUUCGGUUUAAUACGAAUCCCACCUCGGUUUAUUCAAUCGAAUAACCAUUGUGGCUACGCGUCCCCAUUCAAUUCCUGAAUUAGUUCGAUUCGGCUGGGGGUGGUGCAGAGGGGUGACUGUUCGGUUUCCGCGUGUAAACAGCCAUUACCCGCCUCCUACUCGGAACGAACACCAAAGGGGGUUGACCAAUUUUUGUUAAAAAGAAAAAAAGAAAAGAAAACGAACUCC